rnacentral:rRNA from 1 species
UAGGGAAUAUUGCAAAAUGGGCGAAAGCCCGAUGCAGCAACGCCGCGUGGGCGAUGAAGGCCUUCGGGUCGUAAAGCCCUUUUUGAGGGGAUGAGGAAGGACAGUACCCUCAGAAUAAGCCUCGGCUAACUACGUGCCAGCAGCCGCGGUAAAACGUAGGAGGCGAGCGUUAUCCGGAUUUACUGGGCGUAAAGCGCGUGCAGGCGGAUUGGAGAGUUGGAUGUGAAAGCUCCCGGCUUAACUGGGAGAGGUCGUUCAAUACUUCCAGUCUUGAGUGCAGUAGAGGGUAGUGGAAUUCCGGGUGUAGUGGUGAAAUGCGUAGAUAUCCGGAGGAACACCAGUGGCGAAAGCGGCUUCCUGGACUGUAACUGACGCUCAGACGCGAAAGCUAGGUUAGCAAACG